CCUUCGAUAGCUCAGUUGGUAGAGCGGUGGACUGUAGUCGUUGUGUGGGAAUCCAUAGGUCGCUGGUUCGAAUCCGGCUCGAAGGA
rnacentral:tRNA from 1 species